UCGCGCCGUUGCAAACAUGCUCUUUAACAAUCUGGAAAGCUGAUUUAAAAAGUAGUUCUCAAACAUUUGUUACAAGUGCUUUGGAAACUUCUUGGCGAAAACCAAAUUUUAUUUGGUCCUUGUUGUACGACAACAGGCUGUGCCGGUUUCACCGACACUUCUUGGGGUUGUAUGGUUAAGUGACUAAGCGUACAUGGUGGAUGCCUUGGCAGUCAGAGGCGAUGAAGGACGUACUAACCUGCGAUAAGCCGUGAGCAGUCGGUAAGAGACAUUACGACUCACGGAUUUCCGAAUGGGGAAACCCACUUAGCAUAAGCUAGGUAUC
rnacentral:misc_RNA from 1 species